AUUGAACGCUGGCGGCAGGCUUAACACAUGCAAGUCGAGCGGGGUGAUGGUGCUUGCACUAUCACUUAGCGGCGGACGGGUGAGUAAUGCUUGGGAAUCUGCCUAUUAGUGGGGGACAACAUCUCGAAAGGGAUGCUAAUACCGCAUACGUCCUACGGGAGAAAGCAGGGGAUCACUUGUGACCUUGCGCUAAUAGAUGAGCCUAAGUCGGAUUAGCUAGUUGGUGGGGUAAAGGCCUACCAAGGCGACGAUCUGUAGCGGGUCUGAGAGGAUGAUCCGCCACACUGGGACUGAGACACGGCCCAGACUCCUACGGGAGGCAGCAGUGGGGAAUAUUGGACAAUGGGGGGAACCCUGAUCCAGCCAUGCCGCGUGUGUGAAGAAGGCCUUAUGGUUGUAAAGCACUUUAAGUGAGGAGGAGGCUCUUUUGGUUAAUACCCAAGAUGAGUGGACGUUACUCGCAGAAUAAGCACCGGCUAACUCUGUGCCAGCCGCCGCAGUAA
rnacentral:rRNA from 1 species